AGCAGUCGCCGCGGAAAUACGUAGGGUGCAAGCGUUAAUCGGAAUUACUGGGCGUAAAGCGUGCGCAGGCGGUUAUAUAAGACAGUCGUGAAAUCCCCGGGCUCAACCUGGGAACUGCGAUUGUGACUGUAUGGCUAGAGUGUGUCAGAGGGGGGUAGAAUUCCACGUGUAGCAGUGAAAUGCGUAGAUAUGUGGAGGAAUACCGAUGGCGAAGGCAGCCCCCUGGGAUAACACUGACGCUCAUGCACGAAAGCGUGGGGAGCAAACAGGAUUAGAUACCCCAGUAGUCCCUGUCUCUUAUAC
rnacentral:rRNA from 1 species